CGCCCCUCCCCCAGCCUGUCUUCCGCCUUGCAGUUUGAUCUCAGACUGCUGUGCUAGCAAUCAGCGAGACUCCGUGGGCGUAGGACCCUCCGAGCCAGGCAUCAGCUAUCAAAACUUAUGGGAAAUGGAAUUGAAGACAACUACUUCUAGAAUUGGUGCAUGGAAGCUUCUCAUAGGUGAUUAGCCACACUCUUCUUCUGUCAACCUGGUGCAGAAAAGCUUGAAGACCUUGGAAAUCACAUAUUGAUGAUGGAGGAGAUACAAGAAUGAAGGACCCUGGGUUCCUGAAUCAACACUCUAAGAAGAGACUCCUUGAAAUCAAGAGCACUCAUUUUGACAUUGCAAACGGAAAAAUUCACUUCUAUCAGGUGUCAUUAGUUCCUUGCUAGAAUUUCUUUGGUGUCCUUUCUGCAUUUCAAACUCACAAAGGGGACUGAUCGGAGUCAAACCAUAUGCUGUGGCUUUUGCUCCAUGGAAAUCUCAACUAUACUGCAAGAAUAAUUAUUCCUACUUAAUGAAGUUACAGAAGAGAAUGUGGUGCUGGACGGUACUGACUGCAUGGGGAGAGGCCAUACCACAGAAACCUCAAUCUGCCUGAGCCGUGACUCUGAGAGCUGGAGUACCACUGGACAAGGUCUUUGGUACUUCCUCCUGCAUUCAUUCUCCUUCCUGCUGCCCUGUGAAGAAGGUGCCUUGCUUCACCUUUGCCUUCUACUAUGACUGUAAGUUUCCUGAAGCCUCGCCAGACAUGCUGAACUGUGAGUCAAUUAAACCUCUUUCCUUUAUAAAAUACCCAGUCUCAGGCAGUUAUUUAUGGCAGUAUACAAUUGACUAAUAGUGUGCCACUACAUUAAUUGGUUGAAAAAUGUUGUUUUGGUAAAAAAGGAAAAGGUCUUCACACAAAAAUGUACUUGGAAAAGAGGAUUAUUUUAAUAGGUUUUUCAGCUAAUUGAAACUAUUCAUUUUUUAUGAAGUCAAGCCUUGAAUAUUUGUAAUUUUUUGAAGGUUAGCCGUUACAUAGAAUCUAAAAUAUCAAUAAGCUUUGAUACUCACUUGUUAGAUUAAAAUUCAAUGCUCUAUCUUGCAGUGCAAAUGGAUUUUUGAUGCAUGCAUGAAUUUGUAACGUUAGGCAUGAAUAUUUGGAAAAUGUGGGUUAUGUAGAUCUUUCAAAUGAUAAUAGACAUUAUAUGAUAUUUUAACAUCGCAUUCCUUAAUAUCAUCGCUGAUCCCAUCAAGUAAGUUUUCA
rnacentral:lncRNA from 1 species